CCUAGGGUGGCAGCAGUGAGGAAUAUUGGUCAAUGGUCGGGAGACUGAACCAGCCAAGCCGCGUGAGGGAUGAAGGUACAGAGUAUCGUAAACCUCUUUUGUCAGGGAACAAAGGCGGGGACGUGUCCCCGGAUGAGUGUACCUGAAGAAAAAGCAUCGGCUAACUCUGCGCCAGCAGCGGCGGUAAUACGGAGGAUGCGAGCGUUAUCCGGAUUUAUUGGGUUUAAAGGGAGCGUAGGCCGCAUGUCAAGCGUGCUGUGAAAUGUCCGGGCUCAACCCGGGCCUUGCAGCGCGAACUGGCGUGCUUGAGGCCGCGGAAAGCAGGCGGAAUUCGUCGUGUAGCGGUGAAAUGCUUAGAUAUGACGAAGAACCCCGAUUGCGAAGGCAGCUUGCUGCAGCGGAACUGACGCUGAUGCUCGAAAGCGCGGGUAUCGAACAGGAUUAGAUACCCGGGUAGUC
rnacentral:rRNA from 1 species